rnacentral:rRNA from 1 species
CUGCAGAAUACGCCCUUAGAGUUUGAUCCUGGCUCAGGAUGAACGCUAGCGACAGGCUUAACACAUGCAAGUCGAGGGGUAUUUGCCUUCGGGCAGAGAGACCGGCGCACGGGUGCGUAACACGUAUGCAACCUACCCUGUACAGGGGGAUAGCCUUCCGAAAGGGAGAUUAAUACCCCAUAAUAAUAUUGGUCUGCAUGGAUUGAUAUUUAAAGUUGAGGCGGUACAGGAUGGGCAUGCGGAUGAUUAGCUAGUUGGUAGGGUAACGGCCUACCAAGGCGACGAUCAUUAGGGGUUCUGAGAGGAGGAUCCCCCACACUGGUACUGAGACACGGACCAGACUCCUACGGGAGGCAGCAGUGAGGAAUAUCGGUCAAUGGGCGCAAGCCUGAACCAGCCAUGUCGCGUGCAGGAAGACGGCCCUACGGGUUGUACACUGCUGCUCUAAGGGAAGACACGCUCUACGUGUAGAGCUACGACGGUACUUAGGAAUAAGCAUCGGCUAACUCCGUGCCAGCAGCCGCGGUAA